rnacentral:lncRNA from 1 species
CAUGGCCAGAAAUUGCGGACAUGGAUUCUGAGCAUGUGCGAACUUUGACAAACAAAAUGGCGGAUUUGUUAUAUAUAAAUCAUUAGGAGUGGCGCGGUUUUUUUUAAUUUAAACUUGUUUGAUAAUAGCUAUGUCAUUUGCAGACUUCGCAAUAAUAUAAACCCUAUCUGGACCGUAGAACAGAAAAGUUUCGCAUCGAAAUCUUACCUAUAAGUUGUUCCAUUAUUCAAGUUCACUUCAUAGUACAUCGGCGUAUAAUAAAGUAUAGUAAAACUUGAGAAAAUCGUUGAAAACGUACAUUUUGCUCUGGCCGCAUGUAUCCCUCGAACCCUUCAUGAAAUUUGCAGACUUCGCGUCGUAUAAUAUAUGUUGUCCCCUGCUUGUCUGCAUAAUUUCAUAGUGAUACGAAUUUUUUUACUUGUUCCAAUUUACGGGACAAAAUGUUGAUAUUUUACACAUAAAUACCCUGUCCAUAGGCCGUAAAACAUUGCAAGAAGAACGAUGUUUCAUGAAUUGUCGUCCAUGUUUGAUAUCAACAAGAAGCUUAGGAACCAGGCUUUCUUCCAGUGUGGGUUACACGGAGGGAUAGCGAUGUAUACACAAAAUAUUUGAGUCGUUUACCAUGCGCAUCACUUUAUAUCCCAUCAUAAUAAAUGAAAGGUAUGUAAAAGGCCGACAAUUCCUAAUAUAUCUAUUUUCCUGCUUUAGCUAAACAAAAAACUAAGCAAAAUGUGUUUUUUU